AAAAUAUGAUGAAAUAGGUUGAAGCUAGGGGUGAAAGUGCUUAGGAUAAACUCCGAUCGAAUCCGGAUUCGAUCAGAUGCGAAUAAGAUCAAUGUCAAAAUUAUGCAUAUGGUCGAAUUCGAAUUCAGAUUUAGAUGUUAUUAUUUAUUUACAAUAAUUUUGAACUCGGAUUAGAUGUGGAUAUUCAAAAUUUAACAUAUGCUAUCAAUUUAUAUAUUGUGGAGAAAUAAAAGAGUGGAUGGUCUAGCUUAGAUGGUAAAGAGUAUUCUCAUUUGCAAGAGGUGUGGAAUUCAAUUCCCCACAAUUGAUUGUUUUUUAUCGAGAGAGAUGAGGGAGACAUUAAUAUAUAGAGAGAGAGACAGAGUCCGGCUACUAUGCUAUUAUAAUAAUAUCAAGUUUUCUAUCAUUAGAUUUACACUUUGAUCAUUUAUAUCCGUUAGAUUAUACUAUUCAACCAACCACCUACUUAACUCUUUAAUAUUAAAAGAUACCACUAUCAUCUUAACCGCACGUCCUUUCAUCCAACGUCCGAAAACUCAAUAGCACCAAGCGUUUAGUACUAUCUAUAGUAUAGUAGCAUAUAUAUAUAUAUAGAGUGAGGCUACUAUGCUAUCGGAAGCACGGAGUCUUUCGUGCUUCCAACUCGUUUUCGAUAUUGCGAUUUUUGAAUCAUAGAUCGCCUCCGUUAAACUUGAUCUAGAAUAUUUGAAGUACCUAGAAAAUAAAUUUUAUGAUUUUACGAUAUCAUUUGCCUAGUGAACGAAGGGGCUCAAAAUCAACGGCUGAAAAUAAAAAUCUUACAAAAUAUAAUAAUAUGACAUUAAAAUUUUAAAUCAAAGAUAUUGAUCUUGUUUUAUAUAGUAUAAAGAAUUUUCUAUCAAAAUUUCACGUGAUUUGGAUAUUUCUACACCGUUAAACUUGCAAACGGCUCACUACGGCCAUUGAAAUUUAUUGAUUUUGAGCCCAUUCGAUUACUAGGCAAAUGAUAUCGAAAAAUAAUAAAAUUUAUUU
rnacentral:lncRNA from 1 species